rnacentral:lncRNA from 1 species
CAAUCUCUGAAUCUCUCCCUACCAACCUUAGAAAGUUCAAUGGAUCAACCUUUCUAUGGAUAAACGUACAUAUAGACACAAACUUAGGGACACUACUCCACUAUGGCCUUUGGUAGGGGUGUAUACAGCCUGAUUUGAUCUGAUCUGGGGAUAUUAGUAAACCAAACUAAUAAAUUAUAAUUUAUCAAUUUUACAAAUCAAAUCAGACCAUAUUGUC